AGGCGGACCACGCCCCCCACGCGCUCCACGCCCCAUCUACUGGGGCUAGCGCCGGAUCUGGAAGUUCUGUCCGCCGUGCGCCGGCUUGGGGUUGUCGCAGCGGCGCGUCCGACACUCGCACAUGUCGGGCUCUUCGCCGUACGCGCCGCCGCCCGUGCCGUCCUGCAUGCAGGGUGCCCACUCCGACCACGAUGACCAACCGCCGUCGACUGGAAUACAAAUAAAUAUUAUGUAGUAAUCUUAUCAUAGCUCUUAUAUUUUAAUAGUUUAUCGAAUAAAUACAUUUGAAUUA